GCCGGGGUGCUGCUCAGUGGCAGAGCACUUUGUCUAGCACAUAGAAGCCCUGGGUUCCAUCCCCAGCUCUGAAG
rnacentral:tRNA from 1 species